CAGUCGCCGCGGGAAUACGAAGGGGGCUAGCGUUGUUCGGAAUGACUGGGCGUAAAGGGCGCGUAGGCGGCGGCCAAAGUCAGGCGUGAAAUUCCCGGGCUCAACCUGGGGGCUGCGUUUGAUACUUGGUUGCUUGAGUGGGGAAGAGGGUCGUGGAAUUCCCAGUGUAGAGGUGAAAUUCGUGGAUAUUGGGAAGAACACCGGUGGCGAAGGCGGCGACCUGGUCCUUUACUGACGCUGAGGCGCGAAAGCGUGGGGAGCAAACAGGAUUAGAGACCCCUGUAGUCCCUGUCUCUUAUAC
rnacentral:rRNA from 1 species